UACAGAGGUCUCGAGCGUUAGGCGGAAUCACUGGGCUUAAAGCGUGUGUAGGUGGAUGCCUAAGUACCUUGUGAAAUCCCACGGCUUAACCGUGGAACUGCUUGGUAUACUGGGUGUCUUGAGUCACUCAGGGGCGAGCGGAACAAAUGGUGGAGCGGUGAAGUGCGUAGAUAUCAUUUGGAACGCCAAUGGUGAAAACAGCUCGCUGGGGGUGCACUGACACUGAGACACGAAAGCCAGGGGAGCGAACGGG
rnacentral:rRNA from 1 species